GGGGUUGUAGCUCAGUGGUAGAACACAUGUCUAGCAUGCCCAAAGCUCUGGGUUUGAUCCCCAGCAUCACUA
rnacentral:tRNA from 1 species